UACGUAGGGUGCGAGCGUUGUCCGGAAUUAUUGGGCGUAAAGAGCUCGUAGGCGGUUUGUCACGUCUGCUGUGAAAUCCCGAGGCUCAACCUCGGGCCUGCAGUGGGUACGGGCAGACUGGAGUGCGGUAGGGGAGAAUGGAAUUCCUGGUGUAGCGGUGGAAUGCGCAGAUAUCAGGAGGAACACCGAUGGCGAAGGCAGUUCUCUGGGCCACUACUGACGCUGAGAAGCGAAAGCGUGGGGAGCGAACAGG
rnacentral:rRNA from 1 species